rnacentral:rRNA from 1 species
GCUUACCAAGGUGGUAACGGGUAACGGGGAAUCAGGGUUCGAUUCCGGAGAGGGAGCCUGAGAAACGGCUACCACAUCCAAGGAAGGCAGCAGGCGCGCAAAUUACCCAAUCCAGACAUUGGGAGGUAGUGACGAGAAAUACUGAGGAUGUUCUUCGGAAUGUCACUCGGGAUGAACGUAGCAUAAAACAUUCGAUGAGGAUCUACUGGAGGGCAAGUCUGGUGCCAGCAGCCGCGGUAAUUCCAGCUCCAGUAGUGUAUAUCAACAUUGUUGCGUUUAAAACGCUCGUAGUUGGAUUACAAGGCGUCAAAGCUGGGUGCUAAAAUGUAGCUCACAGUGCCUCUGCGUCGGGCGGCGGCAACGUCAACCGGAGCAGAGGUGACGCCUUUUUGUCGCGCUGGCUCUAUCGUCAACUUUACUGGGGGCGGUAGACGCCGGCGGAGUGUGCCUUGAAUAAAGCAUAGUGCUCAAAGCAGGCGUACGCUCGUGUGUAAUAGCAUGGAACAGAUAACAGGCUUUCAGUCGCGUUAAUAGCGCGGCUGGUUUGAGGCCGGGCUCUUCGGGGGCCGGUUUCAGACGGUCCAUUGGUUGGUUGUGGACCGGGUCGCAUCGAUUAAAAGGGACAUUUGAGGGCAUUGGUACUUUGUGGCGAGAGGUGAAAUUCUUAGACCCACAAAAGACUGACUGGUGCGAAAGCGUUUGUCAAGAAUGUUUUCAUUAAUCAAGAACGAAGGUCAGAGGUUCGAAGACGAUCAGAUACCGUCCUAGUUUUGACAGCAAACGAUGCUAGCACAGGGCCAGGCUGUCCACCUUUUAACAGGAAGAGACGGCUUGGUCCUGCCGGGAAACCUCAAGCUUUCGAGUUACGGGGAGAGUAUAGCUUCAAGGCGGGAAUUUAAAGAAAUUGACGGAGAGGCACCACCAGGAGUGGAGCCUGCGGCUUAAUUUGACUCAACACGGGGAAACUCACCAGGUCCAGACAUUGGCAGGAUUGACAGGCUGAUAGACCUUUCAUGAUUCGGUGGAUGGUGGUGCAUGGCCGUUCUUAGUUGGUGGAGUGAUCUGUCAGGUCUAUUCCGGUAACGAGCGAGACCGCGGUCAGUAGUUUGCUGUUUGCAUGGAGCGUGCUUGCACGCCGGCAGGUAAUGCUAAAACAUUGCCUGCUGUUGCAGGCGGCACUACUGGGACUACUGGACUGUAAGCCAGGGGAAGCGCGGCAAUAACAGGUCUGUGAUGCCCUUCGAUGUCCUGGGCUGCACGCGCGCUACAAUGGCAGCAGUAGAGAGCCGCUGGGCAGAGAUGCCCGGCCAAACUGCAAAUAGCUGUCGUGAUAGGGAUUGUGCCUUGGAAUUAUUGCACAUGAAAGAGGAAUUCCUCGUAAGCACGGGUCAUCAGCCCGUGUUGAAUACGUCUCUGCCUCUUGUACACACCGCCCGUCGCUACUACCGAUUGAAUAGCAUCUAGAGCUGGCUGGACGACUGCUGUUUCGUUACAGUGUGACGAAAGGC